UAUAAUGGGUCAGCGACUUAUAUUCUGUAGCAAGGUUAACCGUAUAGGGGAGCCGCAGGGAAACCGAGUCUUAACUGGGCGUUAAGUUGCAGGGUAUAGACCCGAAACCCGGUGAUCUAGCCAUGGGCAGGUUGAAGGUUGGGUAACACUAACUGGAGGACCGAACCGACUAAUGUUGAAAAAUUAGCGGAUGACUUGUGGCUGGGGGUGAAAGGCCAAUCAAACCGGGAGAUAGCUGGUUCUCCCCGAAAGCUAUUUAGGUAGCGCCUCGUGAACUCAUCUUCGGGGGUAGAGCACUGUUUCGGCUAGGGGGUCAUCCCGACUUACCAACCCGAUGCAAACUACGAAUACCGAAGAAUGUUAUCACGGGAGACACACGGCGGGUGCUAACGUCCGUCGUGAAGAGGGAAACAACCCAGACCGCCAGCUAAGGUCCCAAAGUCAUGGUUAAGUGGGAAACGAUGUGGGAAGGCACAGACAGCCAGGAUGUUGGCUUAGAAGCAGCCAUCAUUUAAAGAAAGCGUAAUAGCUCACUGGUCGAGUCGGCCUGCGCGGAAGAUGUAACGGGGCUAAACCAUGCACCGAAGCUGCGGCAGCGACACUAUGUGUUGUUGGGUAGGGGAGCG
rnacentral:rRNA from 4 species